GCCGGGCGUUGUGGCGGGCGCCUGUAGUCCCAGCUACUUGGGAGGCGGAGGCAGGAGACUCGCUUGAGCCCAGGAGUUGGAGGUUGCUGUGAGCUGUAAUGCCACAGCACUCUACCCAGGGGGAUAGCUUGAGGCUCUGUCUCAAAAAAAAAAAAAAAAUUAUUUUUUGGAGACAGAGUCUCACUUUGUUGCCCUGGGUAGAGUGCCAUGGUGUCACAGCUCACAACAACCUCAAACUCUUGGGCUCAAACAAUACUCUUGCC
rnacentral:sRNA from 1 species